AAUGAACGCUGGCGGCGUGCUUAACACAUGCAAGUCGAAUGAGAAAGUUUCUUCGGAAACGAGUAGAGUGGCGAACGGGUGAGUAACGCGUAAGAAUCUGCCCUUUAGUGAGGAAUACCUUCGGGAAGCUGAAGUUAAUACCGCAUAGUCCCUUCGGGGCAAAGACGGCCUCUUGCUGUCGCUAAAGGAUGAGCUUGCGUACUAUUAGUUAGUUGGUGGGGUAAAGGCCUACCAAGACAGAGAUGGUUAGCCGGCCUGAGAGGGUGAUCGGCCACAUUGGGACUGAGAUACGGCCCAG
rnacentral:rRNA from 1 species